rnacentral:rRNA from 1 species
CAGCAGUAGCCGCGGUAAUACGGAGGGCGCGAGCGUUACCCGGAUUUACUGGGCGUAAAGGGCGUGUAGGCGACCUGGGGCGUCCCAUGUGAAAGGCCACGGCUCAACCGUGGAGGAGCGUGGGAUACGCUCAGGCUAGAGGGUGGGAGAGGGUGGUGGAAUUCCCGGAGUAGCGGUGAAAUGCGCAGAUACCGGGAGGAACACCGAUGGCGAAGGCAGCCACCUGGUCCACUUCUGACGCUGAGGCGCGAAAGCGUGGGGAGCAAACCGGAUUAGAUACCCCUGUAGUCCCUGUCUCUUAUAC